rnacentral:rRNA from 1 species
UGGGGAAUUUUGGACAAUGGGGGCAACCCUGAUCCAGCCAUGCCGCGUGAGUGAAGAAGGCCUUCGGGUUGUAAAGCUCUUUCGGACGGGACGAAAUGGUUAGCGUGAAUAACGCUGACUAAUGACGGUACCUGAAGAAUAAGCACCGGCUAACUACGUGCCAGCAGCCGCGGUAAUACGUAGGGUGCAAGCGUUAAUCGGAAUUACUGGGCGUAAAGCGUGCGCAGGCGGUUGUGUAAGUCAGAUGUGAAAUCCCCGGGCUCAACCUGGGAAUUGCAUUUGAGACUGCACGGCUAGAGUGUGUCAGAGGGGGGUAGAAUUCCACGUGUAGCAGUGAAAUGCGUAGAUAUGUGGAGGAAUACCGAUGGCGAAGGCAGCCCCCUGGGAUAACACUGACGCUCAUGCACGAAAGCGUGGGGAGCAAACAGGAUUAGAUACCCUGGUAGUCCCUGAGCGGGCUGGCAAGGCGCAU